AUUGAACGCUGGCGGCAGGCCUAACACAUGCAAGUCGAGCGGAGCGGCGGACGGGUGAGUAAUGCCUAGGAAUCUGCCUGGUAGUGGGGGAUAACGUCCGGAAACGGGCGCUAAUACCGCAUAAUAUCAGAGGAGCCUAGGUCGGAGUAGAUAGUUGGUGGGGUAAAGGCUUACCAAGGCGACGAUCCGUAACUGGUCUGAGAGGAUGAUCAGUCACAGUGGAACUGAGACACGGUCCAGACUCCUACGGGAGGCAGCAGUUGGGAAUAUUGGACAAUGGGCGAAAGUCUGAUCCAGCCAUGCCGCGUGUGUGAAGAAGGUCUUCGGAUUGUAAAGCACUUUAAGUUGGGAGGCGUUACCAACAGAAUAAGCACCGGCUAACUUCGUGCCAGCCGCCGCGGUAAUUC
rnacentral:rRNA from 1 species